UACGUAGGGAUGCAAGCGUUGUCCGGAAUUACUGGGCGUAAAGGGCGCGCAGGCGGUGUGCCAAGUCAGAUGUGAAAAUACUCCGGCCUUAACCGGAGGGGGUCGUUUGAAACUGGCAGACUAGAGUACAACAGAGGAUAGUGGAAUUCCCGGUGUAGUGGUGAAAUGCGUAGAUAUCGGGAGGAACACCAGUGGCGAAGGGCGGGUCUCUGGGCCGAUACUGACGCUGAGGAGACGAAAGCGGUGGGGAGCGAACAGG
rnacentral:rRNA from 1 species